AGAGUUUGAUCCUGGCUCAGGAUGAACGCUGGCGGCGUGCUUAACACAUGCAAGUCGAACGGACGAUGAAGAGCUUGCUUUUCAGAGUUAGUGGCGGACGGGUGAGUAACGCGUGGGUAACCUGCCUCAUACAGGGGGAUAGCAGCUGGAAACGGCUGAUAAAACCGCAUAAGCGCACAGCAUCGCAUGAUGCAGUGUGAAAAACUCCGGUGGUAUGAGAUGGACCCGCGUCUGAUUAGCUGGUUGGUGAGGUAACGGCCCACCAAGGCGACGAUCAGUAGCCGGCCUGAGAGGGUGACCGGCCACAUUGGGACUGAGACACGGCCCAGACUCCUACGGGAGGCAGCAGUGGGGAAUAUUGCACAAUGGGGGAAACCCUGAUGCAGCGACGCCGCGUGAAGGAAGAAGUAUCUCGGUAUGUAAACUUCUAUCAGCAGGGAAGAUAGUGACGGUACCUGACUAAGAAGCCCCGGCUAACUACGUGCCAGCAGCCGCGGUAAUACGUAGGGGGCAAGCGUUAUCCGGAUUUACUGGGUGUAAAGGGAGCGUAGACGGUGUGGCAAGUCUGAUGUGAAAGGCAUGGGCUCAACCUGUGGACUGCAUUGGAAACUGUCAUACUUGAGUGCCGGAGGGGUAAGCGGAAUUCCUAGUGUAGCGGUGAAAUGCGUAGAUAUUAGGAGGAACACCAGUGGCGAAGGCGGCUUACUGGACGGUAACUGACGUUGAGGCUCGAAAGCGUGGGGAGCAAACAGGAUUAGAUACCCUGGUAGUCCGCACGGUAAACGAUGGAUGCCCGCUGUUGGUCUGAAUAGGUCAGCGGCCAAGCGAAAGCAUUAAGCAUCCCACCUGGGGAGUACGCCGGCAACGGUGAAACUCAAAGGAAUUGACGGGGGCCCGCACAAGCGGAGGAACAUGUGGUUUAAUUCGAUGAUACGCGAGGAACCUUACCCGGGCUUGAAUUGCAGAGGAAGGAUUUGGAGACAAUAACGCCCUUCGGGGCCUCUGUGAAGGUGCUGCAUGGUUGUCGUCAGCUCAUGCCGUGAGGUGUCGGCUUAAGUGCCAUAACGAGCGCAACCCCUCUCCUUAGUUGCCAUCAGGUCAUGCUGGGCACUCUGGGGACACUGCCGCCGUAAGGUGUGAGGAAGGUGGGGAUGACGUCAAAUCAGCACGGCCCUUACGUCCGGGGCUACACACGUGUUACAAUGGCAGGUACAGAGAGACGGUCCCUUGCAAAAGGGAUCAAAUCCUCAAAGCCUGUCUCAGUUCGGACUGGGGUCUGCAACCCGACCCCACGAAGCUGGAUUCGCUAGUAAUCGCGCAUCAGCCAUGGCGCGGUGAAUACGUUCCCGGGCCUUGUACACACCGCCCGUCAAGCCAUGAAAGCCGGGGGCGCCUAAAGUCCGUGACCAUAAGGAGCGGCCUAGGGCGAAACUGGUAAUUGGGGCUAAGUCGUAACAAGGUA
rnacentral:rRNA from 1 species